CUACGGGGCGCAGCAGUGAGGAAUAUUGCGCAAUGGGGGAAACCCUGACGCAGCGAUGCCGCGUGAGUGAGGAAGGCCCUCGGGUCGUAAAGCUCUGUCAAGAGGAAAGAAGUGCAUAGUAGUUAAUACCUGCUAUGUUUGACGGUACCUCUAAAGGAAGCACCGGCUAACUCCGUGCCAGCAGCCGCGGUAAUACGGAGGGUGCAAGCGUUGUUCGGAAUCACUGGGCGUAAAGGGCGCGCAGGCGGCCUGGUAAGUCAGAUGUGAAAGCCCACGGCUUAACCGUGGAAGUGCAUUGAAACUGUCAGGCUCGAGUACCAGAGGGGAAAGUGGAAUUCCCGGUGUAGAGGUGAAAUUCGUAGAUAUCGGGAGGACUACCGGUGGCGAAGGCGACUUUCUGGCUGAGUACUGACGCUGAGGCGCGAAAGCGUGGGGAGCAAACAGGAUUAGAUACCCGGGUAGUC
rnacentral:rRNA from 1 species